AAUACAUAGAUCCACUCUAGAAGUCAGCGAGAGCUGGAGAACCGAUAAUUCUAAGCCUAGAGGAUGGUCACGAAAGAAGAGGAAAACAAAAAUUCAAUAGUGGACGAUGAUGAACAGAGAAAGUUUAGAAUAUAAUAUUUGUGUUUGAUUAAUUACCCGUAAAUGAGAAAGAGAUUACGAAUAGAAUUUACUAAACCAAAGGACUAAACCAUAAAACUAAAUCAAAGAUUAAAGAACUAAACCAAAAGGAUAACCGGUUUAUCCUAUAAGAAGAGCCAGUUAAGUGUAUGAGCAGAGUGUAUAUGAACCGUUAGCACUCGCACCACACUUACAACAACAGAGAAUAACUUCUGCGAAGGGGUGUUUACGUAAAAAUGCAGAGUCCUUGAUUCGCUAAAACCUUUUGUCCUUUACUCUCCUCCGAACCGUUUCCCAAAGCAUUUUUGCUUAAGUCGAUCCAUCUUCUCUGCGUUUCUCCUCGUUUAAGAAAUAGAAACCCUAAAAGCUCUUUAUUAAGAAGAAGACCCACCUCCUUAGAACUUGGUCCCACCACUUUUCUCCGGCAAAAGAAACCCAUACACACAGCUUUGUUUGGAGUUUCCUUAUGGAUGCAGAGGUUAUGUUUGAUGGUAAAGUUAGUUUAGAUUCUCAAGAUCAUGAUGAAUCAGUCCUUAUUGAUAAUAGUGUAACUAAGGAGAAUCCGGAUGUUGAUUUUCUUGAGAAUGAUAUGAAUAAGCACCGGUUAACUGUUUCAAGAUUCGUUAGUGAUUCGGUUACAAGUGGAAUGCCAAAUGCAGUUGAGACUCUAGCGGCUGAUAAGAUUGCUCAGACACAAGUGGAACUGUCGAGUUCUGAAGGAAACGAAACUUCGCAGUCUCGUUUGAUUCUUGACUAUGGGGAGACAUUGUUGGUGCAGGAAUCUUGUGGUUUGGUACUUGAGAAGAGUAAAGAGAUUGCUGGUUUGCGCCGGGAACUAGAGUUGAUUUCUAAGUUACUUUCGGGUCAUGAAAAGGGAGUCAUUAAGACUUUGGAGGACCAUGAAGAAACUACUGAUCUACUGCAACGUAAAGUCUCUGGUAAGCAUAUAGGAUCUGUCACGUCGUCAAAGCCUGAGAAUUUAGAGUAUUUAAGACAGUUACCACGCGAACAGUUGAUCAAUCAUUUUCAGACUGAGAUGAAUCAGUUGAAAAGAGAGCAUGAGUGUACGAUGCAAGAGAUGACUGAGGAGUAUUUUAGCAUUAAGAGAAGAUGCCUGAAACUAGAGGAGUGCCCUUCACUUUCUUUUUUGAACAAGGACAAGGAUUUUAAUGUGCUGCGAAAGAAGAUCCCUGAUAUCAUUUCGAAGCUGGACAAGGUUGUAUUGGAAGGUGAGAAGCUUAAAGGAAAGACCAAUGCUGAUUCCAAGAGGGAAUUAGAUUCUCUGCUUCUAGAAAACCGUCUACUUAAAGGUUCACUUUUAAAGGCUGGUGAGGAGAUGUCACAUAAUCAAGAGCUGGUCAGGAAGCUUGAAUCAGAUGUUGAGGAUUUGCAUGUUGAAGCCUCUAUCUAUGAAGAUGUAUAUAGGUCUUUUGUGGGAGAGUUUGUGAACCAGAUUCAGUGUGCAAAAGAAGAGGCUAAUUUGGAGAGAGAAGAAGCCUCUGCAAGCAAGAUUGCUCUUGAAGACUCUUGUGUGGAGUCCUACAUGGAAGAAGAGUACUGCGCGAUAAUGUACAAAGAAGCUUUGAAGGAAGCUGGUGAAAAGCUUGUAGAGCUGAAGAUAAAUGUAUCAGAAAGGGAACGAGCUUUGGGAUCGGAGAUUGCUGAGAAAGGAAUACUGAAAGAAAAGAUUCACUCGCUUGAAUGUCUUGUUAAGGAGAAGGAGAAUGAUUUGGCUAGAGUGAGGGAGAAGCUAGAGAUAGUAUGUCAACAUGUUAACAAUCUGCAAUCUCAAGUUGAUCAGCAAGCAGUAGUGAUUCAAGAUCAAAGCAAAGAACUGGGAGUUUCGUCAUCUCGUGAUCUGGAAAAGACUAAAGGUUAUGUUAUGGAGAUAUCUGAGUUGAGACAGAAGCUUGAGUUGGCUAGAAAGGAUAUGAAGAUAACCGAAAAUGAGAGAAUAAAGUCUGAGCUGAAAUUAUCAUCAACACAAGCAGAGCAGAAACUACUUCAGGAUCAGAUUGUAUCUACGGUUCUGAGUCUUGCUAAAUGGAGUCAAGAUUUCGAGUGUUUGGUAGCAGAAAAGACGAAGAAAGCAAACUCUAGGUUGAAAAGUAUGCAGAGCCAAUUAAAUGAUCUUAUAGAUGAAGUGGAUGAACUCAAGAUUAGAGAAUCGAUGUACAAGCAACAAAUGGAGAAGAAGACUUGUGACCUCCAAAAGGCUGAGACUGAGGUUGAUCUCCUUGGUGAUGAAAUUGAUUCUCUCUUGGACCUCCUUCAGAAAAUAUACAUAGCUCUUGAUCAUUACUCACCAAUUCUAAAGCACUACCCUGGCAUUAUGGAGAUCUUGAAGCUUGUCCAGAGGGAAUUGAGAAAAGGCUCGAAGAGAUUAUCAGUUUUCUGAUCUCGUCUUCAUAUAGUAAAAUCUCUUUUCUCACAAGUUUCAUUGCUUUACUGGUUGUCCAAGUCUACAUCCUCUGCCAAUGUUCACCUCUCUUCUUGUUUAGUAGGGUUGAUCUCGUUGAAGACAAAAUAGUACCUCUCUUGGAUCGUCGUAAGGAAUUUCUAUAACCCUCCAA